GGUCGCCUGAGAAGACGACUGACGCUUUGCUCCGACAAUGAUGUGGCACGGUCCUAAGCCAUUAGAUUAAUUCAAAUUGUUUUAACCAGGGAUGUUGCUUGUAAUGACCAAGUGUGUGGCACGUUGACUAGUGUGUACCAUGGAACGCGCGUUUCUCACCACUUGAUCUGCCACCUCAACUAAUGAGGAAGAUCAAGUGGUCCUCGUUUUUUUGAUUUUUUUUAUUU
rnacentral:lncRNA from 1 species